UACAUGGGGUGCAAACGUUGCUCGGAAUUAUUGGGCGUAAAGCGCGCGUAGGCGGUUACUUAAGUCGGAUGUGAAAGCCCUCGGCUUAACUGAGGAAGUGCACCCGAAACUGAGUAGCUAGAGUACUAAAGAGGGUCGCGGAAUUCCCGGUGUAGAGGUGAAAUUCGUAGAUAUCGGGAGGAACACCGGUGGCGAAGGCGGCGACCUGGGUAGAGACUGGACGCUGAGGCGCGAAAAGCGUGGGGAGCAAACAGG
rnacentral:rRNA from 1 species